UGCAUCUGCUUCAACUACAUCUAAUGAUGUAUAUCCUUUUUGGUUCAAAGCAUUUACUUCAACACCAAGCUUAAGUAGAUAAAUAAUCAUCUGUAAACAGAACAAGUCAUUCAUGUAUAUAUAAUUAGUUUUGAGCUUUA